AACGAACGCUGGCGGCAUGCCUAACACAUGCAAGUCGAACGAUGCUUUCGGGCAUAGUGGCGCACGGGUGCGUAACGCGUGGGAAUCUGCCCUUGGGUUCGGAAUAACAGUGAGAAAUUGCUGCUAAUACCGGAUGAUGUCUUCGGACCAAAGAUUUAUCGCCCAGGGAUGAGCCCGCGUAGGAUUAGCUAGUUGGUGGGGUAAUGGCCUACCAAGGCGACGAUCCUUAGCUGGUCUGAGAGGAUGAUCAGCCACACUGGGACUGAGACACGGCCCAGACUCCUACGGGAGGCAGCAGUGGGGAAUAUUGGACAAUGGGCGCAAGCCUGAUCCAGCAAUGCCGCGUGAGUGAUGAAGGCCUUAGGGUUGUAAAGCUCUUUUACCCGGGAUGAUAAUGACAGUACCGGGAGAAUAAGCUCCGGCUAGCUCCGUG
rnacentral:rRNA from 1 species